GGAAUCUUCCACAAUGGACGCAAGUCUGAUGGAGCAAUGCCGCGUGAGUGAAGAAGGUUUUCGGAUCGUAAAGCUCUGUUGUAAGAGAAGAACGUGUGUGAGAGUGGAAAGUUCACACAGUGACGGUAACUUACCAGAAAGGGACGGCUAACUACGUGCCAG
rnacentral:rRNA from 1 species